rnacentral:lncRNA from 1 species
UAUUUCUGGGGAGAGAUCCGUUUGCGCCAAAAAUGCGUCCUUUUGCGCCACAACUUUUUUUGUCCAAUGCUACGUUUGCGCCACCUGUUUUAAAAUUACAUGGUAUCAUUUGCGCCAAAAAUAACACAUACGAUUGCGCCAUUUAUAGAAGAAAAAUCACUUCCCUCCUCCUUUAUUCGGACUUGGAACCGGCAGUUUACACGGCAAAUAUUUCCUUUUCUGAAACAUACUUUCUUCUUACCGCCUUACUACUUCCCAAUUUAAUGUAUGUAGUAGCUUGUAACUUCACUUUAUUGUCCAAAAAGACAAACAUUUAAAGAUGAAAUACAUAAAACAGUUCAUAAUAAUUCCUGUGGAAUACUUCUGUUCUAUUACUGAUAGAUAGAGUUUCAGCCCAAACGGAUGGUGGGAUCACAGCACUGUGUCAUCAACAUAUGUGCAUGGCUAAAAAAAUUAUCAGCAAAAGCUUCUAUUUUCUUCUCUUUUUUGGCAUAUCUUGUAUUAAAUAUUCAGCAAAGCAAUAAUGUUUCUUCUCUCUCUGUACAUGGACUGUCUAGCUAAUGCACUUCAAGUCUCCAGAAGCUCAUUUUCAUGGUGAAAUAUAUCUCCGAACAUAUAAUACUUUUUAAGCCAAACAUAAGAAUAAAUAUUAAUCAUUAAUAUUUAUGAUAUACAUGUGUACAGGUAAAGUGGCGCAAAUGAGUUCCGAAUAUUGGCGCAAUUGAUACAUUUGGAAAACAAAAUUUUGGCGCAAAUGAUACC